GCUAUGUAAGGAGGCGGUGGCGGCUGGGUAAGGCUGGGGGGGAAGCCAAGGCCCUGGUUGACUUGGAUCUCGAAGGACAGACCACGCUGGCACUGAGUGCCGUCAUCAGCAUCGGAGAAGAAAUAGUUUGGACCUUUGAUAGUCAACGGCACAGGGAUGAUCAACGCUUCACCAAACACCAUGCUGCCACCGUCGUACUGGAUCGUAUCAUUAUCCGAUGCAUCGUCCGUUGUGCAGCUCUUAAAUGUGCUCUCGUUGUAGGUCUGGAUCACCGUCUGAUUCGAAUUCGUGUUGAAAAUGAGGAAGUCCCCUAGAUUGAAGGUCUGCAUAGCAGCCCAAGAUGAAUAGUUAGCGGCGGAGAUGUUAGUGGUGGAAUUGAAGAACCAGCCGGCAUUGCCGCCGACAGUAUGGUUGGUAUAAGCAGUUGGAGGCGUCUGCGAUGCGGCUGCAGUGAUCAUGAGCGCAGUUACUGUUAGACACAAAAAUGUAGCGACUUUCAUGGCUAUACGGUGCGGUUUGAUGUGAUGACUGUUUCGGGAGCUUGUCUGGGGUUUUGAUAAACGGAGGCUAUUUAGUUUUGAAGGACGCGGUGUCUUCUUUACUCAGUCAAAUCAUAGGCAAGGGAAUGGGAAACAGGGGAAGCAUUAGACCGACCCUUCAUGUGGGGCACAUGGGGUAGG
rnacentral:misc_RNA from 1 species